UUUUUUCUCCCAUUCUGUGGCUUGUCUUUUAUUUUCUUAGCAAUGCCUUUCUAAAAGCAGUAAGUUUUAAUUUUAAUAAAAUCAAAUUUAUCAAUUUUUUCUUUUAUGAACAGUGCUAAUCUAUGUCAACAACAUUUUAUCAUUUCAAUGUAUAGGUCUUACAUAUAUUUUCGCAGAUUUACCUUAAGUAUUUCAUUUUUUAAUGCCAUUGAAAUUUAAAUUUUAGAUUGUUGAUAGUAUACAGAAACAUGAUGAAGUUUUUUAUAUUGAUCUUGUAGCCUGUAUCCUUGCUAACUCAUUUAUUAGUUCUAGUAGCUUCUUUCAUAGAUUCCAUAGGAUUUUCUACACAGGAAACCAUGUUGUCCAAGAAUAAAGAUAGUGUCACUUCUUUCUUCCCAAUCUUAGCUUUUUAUUUCUUUUCCUUGCUUUAUUGCACUAGCAAUUUGGUUGUUGGAAGUUGUCUUGCAGUUCCCUAAAAUAUUGCGGUUUUUAAAGGUCUUUUUUCUCUGCCUGUUUCAUUUUGCCCAAGCUCACCAUAGUUUCUAUAACUGUGCCUUUGAGUUCACUGAUAUUCUCUCCUACAAUGUCAAAUCUUCCACUCUUUCCAUCCACUGUGUUUUACAUCUCUGGCAUUGUAGUUUCCAUCUCUAAACGUUUUCUUUGGUCUUUUAAAAUAUUUGCAUGUCCCUACAUAGUCAAUAGUUCUUCUAGCUUAACACAUGACAUACAUUUAAUAACUGUUUUAAUGGUAUUGUCUACUGAUUUUACCAUCAGCGUCAUUUCUAGGUCAGUGUCAAUCGAUUGAUUACUUCUCCAUUAUGGGAAGUGUUUUCUUGUUUCUCUGCAUGCCUGGUAACCACUGACUGGAUGCCAGACAUUUGUGAAUUUUACCUUGUUGUGUACUAUAUAUUUUUGUAUUUCUAGAAGAAUUAGAGAAUCUUGAUCUCUGGCAGAGUGGUAGACCAAAGGAAAAAAAAAAAGAAAAAGAAAAUGAAUGUAUAAAUAAUCUCAAGUUGUGUUCUGAAAAAUAAUUACGUUACUCAGAAACAGUUUGGUCCUUUGGUUAGAUGGGCCCAGAGCUGUAUUUCUGUAGGGUUACUUUUUCCCCACUACUCAGCUAAUACCCUGAGACCCCUUGAAUUAAUCCCCUCUGGCUAUCAGGAACAGACUCUGUCUACUAGCUCUGUGCGAGCUCUGAGCACUAUUCUCUCUUAUCUUUUUGGGUGGUUUCUUACCCCAGCCUCAGGUAAUUUCCACUUGAUUAAUACUCAACUGAAUAGUUAAGGGGGACCCUCUGAAUAUCUCCAGCGCUCGCUCUUUGUAGUUCUCCUCUCUCCAGUACUCUGCCUUACAAACUUCAGCCUCUUUGGCUUCCCCCAGGCCCCUGGACAUGUCUUGUUAAUGAGGGGAGCCACGGCAUGGCAACUUUCUCCAGGUGACAAGUCAGUAGGACUAACCUGUAUUUCUUCAUUUCUCUCAAUGAUCACUGUUUGCCACUGUCUAAUGUAUACGUAGUGUCUU
rnacentral:lncRNA from 1 species